rnacentral:rRNA from 1 species
CAAUAGCGUAUAUUAAAGUUGUUGCGGUAAAAAAGCUCGUAGUUGGAUUUCUACCGAAGAUAGCCGGUCGGGUCUUCGACCUUGUAUCUGGUUUUGUCUUUGGUAUCCUCAUAGGGAACGUUUCUGCGCUUUAUUGCGUGGUGCGGUAUCUAUGACUUUUACUUUGAGGAAAUUAGAGUGUUCACGGCAGGCAAACGCCUUGAAUAUAUUAGCAUGGAAUAAUAACAUAGGAUCUUCGUCCUAUUUUGUUGGUUUCUAGGGCUAAGAUAAUGAUUAAUAGGGAUAAUUGGGGGCAUCUGUAUCAACGCGUCAGAGGUGGAAUUCUUGGGUUGCGUUGCGACAAACUACUGCGAAAGCAUUUGCCAAGGAUGUUUUCAUUGA